CAAGUUAAUUAUGGUCUUUGUUAGGAAUAAAUGGACUUCACACAGUUUUCAACGAGCCAGGCGGCCCAAACUGCUGCAUAAACCCUGACUCUGCUUGCACGGAACACAAGAGAAGUGACACAAUUUCCCUAGUUCAAAUGAAAUUCAUGUUAGCAGGCAAUAUUAACUAAAUAUGCAGGUUUAAAAAUAUAUACUUGUGUAUUGAUUUUAAGGAAGGCAUUGAUAUUUAUGGUUAGGUAUACAUUGGUGCAACAACAGUGCUUUUUUCGAGAAUGCGCUUGUUAUAUCAUCACCCAUUUGGUGAAGUAGGCUAUGAUUCGAUGAUAAAUUAACAGGCACCGCAUCGAUUAUAUGCAACGCAGGACAAGCUAGAUAAACUAGUAAUAUCAUCAAUCAUGUGUAGUUAGCUAGUGACUGUGUUAAGAUUGAUUGUAUUUUAUAAGAUAAGUUUAAUGCUAGCGAUCAAUUUACCUUGGCUUCUUGCUGCAGUCACGUAACAGGUAGUCAGCCUGCCACGCAGUCUCCUCGUUGAGUGCAAUGUAAUCGGCCAUGAUCGGUGUCCAAAAAUGACGACCGCCGAUUGUUAUGAAAACUUGAAAUCGGUCCUAAUUAAUCGGCCAUUCCGAUUAAUCGGUCGACCUCUAUACAAAACCCUUAUACAUCUGAAAUGGCGAGGGUGAGAUUAAAGCUACUGUUAGCCUACAUGGACAGGGUGAGAUUAAUGCUACUGUUAGCCUACAUGGACAGGGUGAGAUUAAUGCUACUGGUAGCCUACAUGGACAGGGUGAGAUUAAUGCUACUGGUAGCCUACAUGGACAGGGUGAGAUUAAUGCUACUGGUAGCCUACAUGGACAGGGUGAGAUGAAUGCUACUGGUAGUCUCCAUGGACAGGGUGAGAUGAAUGCUACUGGUAGUCUACAUGGACAGGGUGAGAUUAAUGCUACUGGUAACCUACAUGGACAGGGUGAGAUUAAUGCUAAUGGUAGUCUACAUGGACAGGGUGAGAUUAAUGCUAAUGGUAGUCUACAUGGACAGGGUGAGAUGAAUGCUACUGGUAGUCUACAUGGACAGGGUGAGAUUAAUGCUGCUGGUAGCCUACAUGGACAGGGUGAGAUUAAUGCUGCUGGUAGUCUACCACGACAGGGUGAGAUUAAUGCUACUGGUAGCCUACAUGGACAGGGUGAGAUUAAUGCUACUGGUAGUCUACAUGGACAGGGUGAGAUUAAUGCUACUGUUAGCCUACAUGGACAAGGUGAGAUUAAUGCUACUGUUAGCCUACAUGGACAUGGUGAGAUUAAUGCUACUGUUAGCCUACAUGGACAAGGUGAGAUUAAUGCUACUGUUAGCCUACAUGGACAAGGUGAGAUUAAUGCUACUGGUAGCCUACAUGGACAAGGUGAGAUUAAUGCUACUGUUAGCCUACAUGGACAGGGUGAGAUUAAUGCUACUGGUAGUCUACAUGGACAGGGUGAGAUUAAUGCUACUGUUAGCCUACAUGGACAAGGUGAGAUUAAUGCUACUGUUAGCCUACAUGGACAGGGUGAGAUUAAUGCUACUGGUAGCCUACAUGGACAGGGUGAGAUUAAUGCUACUGUUAGCCUACAUGGACAGGCUUUAUCAGUGUGCUUGCAUCACCAACAUCUCUACUUGGUAGGCUGUAAAAUUCAGUCUAUUUGAAUGCCAAUGCAAAGUAUCAUUGGGAAGGCCUAUAAAAUGCACCUCAUGUUUUAGCAUGAUAAUACACAGCCUCAUGUCCCAAGGAUCUGUACACAAUUCCUGGAAGCUGAAACUGUGCCAGUUCUUCUAUGGCCUGCAUACUCACCAGACAUGUCACCUAUUGAGCAUGUUUGGGAUGCUCUGGAUGGACGUGUAUGACAGCGUGUUCCAAUUCCCGCCAAUGUGCAGCAACUUCGCACAGCCAAUGUAGAGGAGUGGGGCAACAUUCCACAGGCCACAAUCAACAGCCUGAGCAACUCUAUGUGAAGGAGAUGUGUCACGCUGCAUGAGGCAAAUGGUGGUCACACCAGAUACUGACUGGUUUUCUGAUCCACGACCCUUCUUUUUUCCCCCCAACAGAUUUAUAUCUGUAUUCCCAAUCAUGUGAAAUCCAUCAAUUAGGGCCUAAUUAAUUUAUCUCAAUUGACUGAUUUCCUUAUACUCACUAAAGUCUUUGUAAUUGUUGCAUGUUGCGUUUAUAUUUAUGUUCAGUAUAUAAAGACCAAUCCAAGGCUUUAAUGACCAUACUCAUUAGCAAUGUUGCGCAGAGAUAAUAGAUAUGACGGUGCAUAUUCAGUAAUGGCCGUGUUGUUGUCUCCAGUCUGAGUCCUACCU